GCUCUCGCAGGAAUUGGCGGUAACACGUGGACAACCUACCCAAGAGUCAGGGAUAACCCCGGGAAACUGGGGAUAAUACCUGAUAGGCCAUGACAUCUGGAAUCGAGUUGUGGUUUAAACGUAAGGCUCUUGGAUGGGUCUGCGGCGGAUUAGGUUGUUGCCGGUGUAACGUACCAGCAAGCCUGUAAUCCGUACGGGUUGUGGGAGCAAGAGCCCGGAGAUGGAUUCUGAGACACGAAUCCAGGCCCUACGGGGCGCAGCAGGCGCGAAAACUCUACAAUGCAGGCAACUGCGAUAGGGGAACAUCGAGUGGCAUCCACCAUGGAUGUCUGUCCAAUCGUCUAAAAAACGAUUGUCAGCAAGGGCCGGGCAAGACCGGUGCCAGCCGCCGCGGUAAUACCGGCGGCUCGAGUGGUGGCCGAUAUUAUUGAGUCUAAAGGGUCCGUAGCCGGCUUUGCAAGUCCUAUGGGAAAUCCAGCGGCUUAACCGUUGGGCUUUCAUGGGAUACUACAUUGCUUGGGACUGGGAGAGGUAGGAGGUACUCAGGGGGUAGGGGUGAAAUCCUGUAAUCCUUUGGGGACCACCGGUGGCGAAGGCGUCCUACCAGAACAGGUCCGACGGUGAGGGACGAAAGCUAGGGGCACGAACCGGAUUAGAUACCCGGGUAGUCCUAGCCGUAAACGAUGCUCGCUACGUGUCACGGCAGUCGUGUAAUUGUCGUGAUGCCGUACGGAAAUCGUGAAGCGAGCCACUUGUUUACUACGAUC
rnacentral:rRNA from 1 species